UGGAGAGUAGUAUCAUGUAGGAUCAUGGUUGUCAGGAGUUGAGAGGAAGAAAUGGGUGUUUGCUUAUGAGUAUAGAGUUUCUAUUCCAUAAGAUGAAGAGUUCUGGAAAUUAGCUGUGUAACAAUGUGGAUAUACUCAAUG